AACGUACGCUGGCGGCACGCCUAACACAUGCAAGUCGAACGAAGUAGCAAUACUUAGUGGCAGACGGGUGAGUAACAUGUAGGUAUCUGCCCUUUGGCCUGGAAUAACACGAGGAAACUUGUGCUAAUACCGGAUAAGUCUUUACGGAGAAAGCUUUAUGCACCAUUGGAUGAGCCUGCACUUGAUUAGUUUGUUGGUGGGGUAAUGGCCUACCAAGACUGUGAUCAAUAGCUGAUUUGAGAGGAUGAUCAGCCACAUUGGGACUGAGACACGGCCCAAACUCCUACGGGAGGCAGCAGUGGGGAAUCUUGCACAAUGGAGGAAACUCUGAUGCAGCGAUGCCGCGUGAGUGAAGAAGGCCCUUGGGUUGUAAAGCUCUUUCGUCGGGGAAGAAAAUGACUGUACCCGAAUAAGAAGGUCCGGCUAACUUCGUGCCAGCAGCCGCGGUAAUACGAAGGGACCUAGCGUAGUUCGGAAUUACUGGGCUUAAAGAGUUCGUAGGUGGUUGAAAAAGUUAGUGGUGAAAUCCCAGAGCUUAACUCUGGAACUGCCAUUAAAACUUUUCAGCUAGAGUAUGAUAGAGGAAAAGCAGAAUUUCUAGUGUACAGGUGAAAUUUCGUAGAUAUUACAAAGAAUACCAAUUGCGAAGGCAGCUUUCAGGAUCAUUACUGACACUGAGGAACGAAAGCAUGGGUAGCGAAGAGGAUUCGAUACCCCUCGUAGUCCAUGCCGUAAACGAUGUGUGUUAGACGUUGGAAAUUUAUUUUCAGUGUCGCAGGGAAACCGAUAAACACACCGCCUGGGGAGUACGACCGCAAGGUUAAAACUCAAAUGAAUUGACGGGGACCCGCACAAGUAGUGGAGCAUGUGGUUUAAUUCGAAGAUACGCGCAGAACCUUACCAACACUUGACAUGUUCGUCGCGACUAUAAGAGAUUAGAGUUUUCGGUUCGGCCGGACGAAACACAGGUGCUGCAUGGCUGUCGUCAGCUCGUGUCGUGAGAUGUUGGGUUAAGUCCCGCAACGAGCGCAACCCUCACUUUUAGUUGCCAUCAUUAAGUUGGGCACUCUGAAAGAACUGCCAGUGAUAAGCUGGAGGAAGGUGGGGAUGACGUCAAGUCCUCAUGGCCCUUACGUGUUGGGCUACACACGUGCUACAAUGGUAUCUACAACAGGAAGCAAAACUGCGAAGUUAAGCAAAUCCCUAAAAGAUACCUCAGUUCGGAUUGCACUCUGCAACUCGAGUGCAUGAAGCUGGAAUUACUAGUAAUCGUGGAUCAGCGUGCCACGGUGAAUGCGUUCCCGGGUCU
rnacentral:rRNA from 1 species